CCAGGAGCACCGCUGGGUAGCUAUGUACGGACGGGAUAAACGCUGAAAGCAUCUAAGCGUGAAGCCCCCCUCAAGAUGAGAUUUCCCAGUAUGUAAGACCCCUUGAAGACGACGAGGUAGAUAGGCUGGGGGUGGAAGUGCAGCAAUGCAUGGAGCUGACCAGUACUAAUCGGUCGAGGGCUUAUCCAAUA
rnacentral:rRNA from 1 species